rnacentral:rRNA from 1 species
CCUACGGGUGGCUGCAGUGGGGAAUAUUGGACAAUGGGCGAAAGCCUGAUCCAGCCAUGCCGCGUGUGUGAAGAAGGCCUUCGGGUUGUAAAGCACUUUCAGUGGGGAAGAAAGCCUUGGGGCUAAUACCCUCGAGGAAGGACAUCACCCACAGAAGAAGCACCGGCUAACUCCGUGCCAGCAGCCGCGGUAAUACGGAGGGUGCGAGCGUUAAUCGGAAUUACGGGGCGUAAAGCGCGCGUAGGCGGUCUGAUAAGCCGGUUGUGAAAGCCCCGGGCUCAACCUGGGAACGGCAUCCGGAACUGUCAGGCUAGAGUGCAGGAGAGGAAGGUAGAAUUCCCGGUGUAGCGGUGAAAUGCGUAGAGAGCGGGAGGAAUACCAGUGGCGAAGGCGGCCUUCUGGACUGACACUGACGCUGAGGUGCGAAAGCGUGGGUAGCAAACAGGAUUAGAUACCCGAGUAGUC